ensembl:lncRNA
ACCGUAAUAGCCACAGCCGGAGCGAGUCCGCUGAGGAGAAACGCAGAUCUGGCCACCUGCUUUGAGACGCCUUGGACCACGACACUGCCGGGGUCUUUAAAGGCUGGCCUUUUCGGGUAGGGCAUCUGCCCUCCUAAAUCGCCUUAAGAUUCCAGGAAAAGAGAGAAGAUGCCUCUCUCAGUCUUUGAACUAUGCUGCUCUUCCUGUAUCCAUUUCUGCUGAACACAGCCUUAUCUUUUCAAAGAGAAAAAAAGAUAAAAACAAGAGGAGAAUUGCACCACUGCAGAUCCCAAGAGAAGUAAGCACAAAACUACAGCAACGUCAAAUAAUAUCUUCAGCAACUAGGAAAAUCCCCACAUGCUGUCUGGUGUCAGCCCAAUGCAGACUGGGGUGCGCUGUGCCCGGAAUCACAGGAAGCCGGGCAGCUCUGCAGCCUGUGUCCCUGCCAGCUCCCCCCACGCGCUGAAAUUCGCCAGGAAGAACUUAUGAUGCCCAGCUUCUGUAUGCAAGACAGGCAGGCAGACCACGCACCCAACACUCCGCGACUCGGCCAAGGGGCCGCGACAUCAAAAAGGCAGAGCCAUCAGAAGGCACGGGAGGCACGGGGGUUUGAGCCCUCGGAUUUUGCUGCAUUGUCACGAACUAGGAAUGUAGGGGUAGGAGCAACUGCACCUCCAGCCAAAAAUGGACCGGACGCGUUUUUCCCGGCGGCGCCCUCCCCGCCCGUGUGCAGGUCGCAAUACGGUGAAAAAAACCCUCCAAGAACAAACUAAUGCAGGCUGCAGCAGUAAACAGCAAUAUCAACCAACUGUGUGAUGUUUCCAACCAGAGCUUACAUAAAAACAAGGACUCUGCAUAAACCAGCAUCCACGAUUUCUGAAUUAGCACAGGAUCACCAAACCAUAAUAAAGGAUAAUCCCUUUAAUUAAUAAAAGCCAAUAUUUCAUAAUAACUAUAAAGAGAAAGUAACCUUUAAAAAUUAUAUCUUUUUUUUUUUAAAAGAGAGAACCAAUGACAAGAUUUUGGAGAAAACCAGUAAACCAUUCUUCCCAAAUUAAAAAAAAAGGAUAAUUCUUUGCCUCCACUAAUUACCAGGAUGUUCACCUCAUUGCUUUCAGUGAUGAAGCAUCAACUUGGCUCAGAGAUCCUUCUCUCUGUUCUCUCUGUCAAGGAGAUAAAUUGACAAGUUAUAUCUCUCAUAAAAGUUACUGAUGCAACAAUUCUGAGAUGUGCUUUAUUUGUGCUUUAUAAGAAGUGAAGAGCUUCUUUUCUUAUACUGAAGGCAAAAGUACACAAAGUUUCCCAUUUUCACGUGUUGAAUAGGUAAAGUCCUUGUCAAGCUCCUUCUACACGCCAAGUCCAGUGGCAACAUACACAC